CAGAGCUGGGCCGAUGCACAACCGCGGAGGGAGGCUGGUCCCCUCAACAAUUGCCAAGAAUCCUCCGGACAAUAUUGCCGAGACAAUACUGUGUAGGGUUCUGAUGCCCUGUCCUUGACAUCAAAAGUGUGGCUUGGUGUGGCUGCCGUGGAGGAGGUCUUUGAUCACCCACUGCUACCGCAAGACCCCUGGACGGCAUUAAAAGAAACAGAAGUGCAUCUUGACCCAUGCCUCAAUGUGUGCAAAGUGGGAAAUCUGAGCAACAGGGCUGUUUGGAAGCUAGGGAGAGAAGGAACCUAUGAGCAUCUUAGCUUUAAGCAUCAGUGGACACCAUUUUAUCUUCGGAACCAGCAUGUGAAUCUCAUGAAGAAAUGUACUAAAGAGAAGCAAACGUGAUUUCCUGUGUUCAAGGGCUCACAUGAUACUGACACAUUUGUACUCACAAUUCAUGCUGUGAGGCUUUCUGCUUACUAGUUGCCUUAAGUUCACUCUCCUCAGUUUUCUCCUGUCCUGAAGGCUGUUGC